rnacentral:misc_RNA from 1 species
GCGGUCGGUCAGCGGGGCGUUCUCCCACCUGUAGCGACUCAGAGCCUCCAAGCUCAUGGCCUCCUUAGGAGCGAACCCAAGGAGGACACCGCAGGGACCGAGACCUGGGGCGGCCUCCUCCGGCUUCCCCAGCCCGGCCCCAGUGCCGGGCCCCAGGGAGGCCGAGGAGGAGGAAGUCGAGGAGGAGGAGGAGCUGGCCGAGAUCCAUCUGUGUGUGCUGUGGAAUUCAGGAUACUUGGGCAUUGCCUACUAUGAUACUAGUGACUCCACUAUCCACUUCAUGCCAGAUGCCCCAGACCACGAGAGCCUCAAGCUUCUCCAGAGAGUUCUGGAUGAGAUCAAUCCCCAGUCUGUUGUUACGAGUGCCAAACAGGAUGAGAAUAUGACUCGAUUUCUGGGAAAGCUUGCCUCCCAGGAGCACAGAGAGCCUAAAAGACCUGAAAUCAUAUUUUUGCCAAGUGUGGAUUUUGGUCUGGAGAUAAGCAAACAACGCCUCCUUUCUGGAAACUACUCCUUCAUCCCAGACGCCAUGACUGCCACUGAGAAAAUCCUCUUCCUCUCUUCCAUUAUUCCCUUUGACUGCCUCCUCACAAUCCCCUCCCAGGUUCGAGCACUUGGAGGGCUGCUGAAGUUCCUGGGUCGAAGAAGAAUCGGGGUUGAACUGGAAGACUAUAAUGUCAGCGUCCCCAUCCUGGGCUUUAAGAAAUUUAUGUUGACUCAUCUGGUGAACAUAGAUCAAGACACUUACAGGAAUCCUCAACAGAUGCCACUGUAAGUGGGGAGAGAAGCUGCUCAG